rnacentral:rRNA from 1 species
ACGUUUCGAAAGGAACGCUAAUACCGCAUACGUCCUACGGGAGAAAGCAGGGGACCUUCGGGCCUUGCGCUAUCAGAUGAGCCUAGGUCGGAUUAGCUAGUUGGUGGGGUAAUGGCUCACCAAGGCGACGAUCCGUAACUGGUCUGAGAGGAUGAUCAGUCACACUGGAACUGAGACACGGUCCAGACUCCUACGGGAGGCAGCAGUGGGGAAUAUUGGACAAUGGGCGAAAGCCUGAUCCAGCCAUGCCGCGUGUGUGAAGAAGGUCUUCGGAUUGUAAAGCACUUUAAGUUGGGAGGAAGGGCAGUAAGUUAAUACCUUGCUGUUUUGACGUUACCGACAGAAUAAGCACCGGCUAACUCUGUGCCAGCAGCCGCGGUAAUACAGAGGGUGCAAGCGUUAAUCGGAAUUACUGGGCGUAAAGCGCGCGUAGGUGGUUCGUUAAGUUGGAUGUGAAAGCCCCGGGCUCAACCUGGGAACUGCAUCCAAAACUGGCGAGCUAGAGUACGGUAGAGGGUGGUGGAAUUUCCUGUGUAGCGGUGAAAUGCGUAGAUAUAGGAAGGAACACCAGU